UACGGAGGGCGCAAGCGUUGUUCGGAAUCAUUGGGCGUAAAGCGCGUGUAGGCGGCCUGGUAAGUCGGGUGUGAAAUCCCGGGGCUCAACCCCGGAACUGCAUUCGAAACUGCCUCGCUAGAGUCCCGGAGAGGAAGGCUGAAUUCCCGGUGUAGAGGUGAAAUUCGUAGAUAUCGGGAGGAACACCAGCGGCGAAGGCGGCCUUCUGGACGGUGACUGACGCUGAGACGCGAAAGCGUGGGGAGCAAACAGG
rnacentral:rRNA from 1 species